AACGCACGAGACCUGCGGACCUGCGGAGGGAUCAUUAUCGAGUUACUCAACUCCCAAAACCCUGUGAACUUUACCACUGUUGCUUCGGCGGAGUCGUCCCGGGUGCGCUCGAAAGGGCGUGUCCCGGAUCCAUGGCGCCCGCCGGGGGACCUAAACUCUUGUUUUUAUAAUGGUAUCUUCUGAGUGGCAUAAGCAAAAUAAAUCAAAACUUUCAACAACGGAUCUCUAGAUCGGAAGAGC
rnacentral:misc_RNA from 1 species